AAUAUGGGACAAUGGGGGUAACCCUGAUCCAGCCAGGCCGCGUGUGUGAAGAAGGUACUCGGUAUGUAAAGCACUUUAAUUUGGGAGGAAGGGCUUUAGGUUAAUACCCUGAAGUUUUGACGUUACCAACAGAAUAAGCACCUGCUAACUCGGUGCAAUCAGCCGCGGUAAUACAGAGGGUGGAAGCGUUAAUCGGAAUUACGGGGCGUAAAGCGCGCGUUGGUGGUUCAGUAAGAUGGAUGUGAAAUCCCCGGGCUUAACCUGGGAACUGCUUUCAUAACUGCUGAGCUAGAGUACGGUAGAGGGUAGUGGAAUUUCCUGUGUAGCGGUGAAAUGCGUAGCUAUAGGAAGGAACACCAGUGGCGAAGGCGACUACCUGGACUGAUACUGACACUGAGGUGCGAAAGCGUGGGGAGCAAAC
rnacentral:rRNA from 1 species